UAGGGAAUCUUCCACAAUGGGCGAAAGCCUGAUGGAGCAAUGCCGCGUGAAUGAAGAAGGUCUUCGGAUCGUAAAGUUCUGUUAUUAGAGAAGAACAAGUCAAGGAGUAACUGUCUUGACUUUGACGGUACCUAACCAGAAAGUCACGGCUAACUACGUGCCAGCAGCCGCGGUAAUACGUAGGUGACAAGCGUUGUCCGGAAUUAUUGGGCGUAAAGGGAGCGCAGGCGGUUGGAAUAGUCUGAUGUGAAAGCCCACGGCUUAACCGUGGAAUUGCAUUGGAAACUGUCCAACUUGAAUGCAGAAGAGGAAAGCGGAAUUCCAUGUGUAGCGGUGAAAUGCGUAGAUAUAUGGAGGAACACCAGUGGCGAAGGCGGCUUUCUGGUCUGUGAUUGACGCUGAGGCUCGAAAGCGUGGGGAGCGAACAGG
rnacentral:rRNA from 1 species